UGCAGGCUGCAACUCGCCUGCACGAAGUCGGAAUUGCUAGUAAUCGUAGGUCAGCAUACUACGGUGAAUACGUUCCCGGGCCUUGUACACACCGCCCGUCAAACCAUGAGAGUUGGCAACACCCGAAGUCGGUAGUCUAACCGCAAGGAGGACGCCGCCGAAGGUGGGGUUGAUGAUUAGGGUUAAGUCGUAACAAGGUAUC
rnacentral:rRNA from 1 species